UACGAAGGGGGCUAGCGUUGUUCGGAAUUACUGGGCGUAAAGCGCGCGCAGGCGGUUUUUCAAGUCAGUGGUGAAAGCCCGGAGCUCAACUCCGGAACUGCCAUUGAAACUGUGAAACUUGAGGAUGAGAGAGGUGAGUGGAAUUCCCAGUGUAGAGGUGAAAUUCGAUAGAUAUCGAGAAGAACACCGGUGGCGAAGGCGGCCAUCGUGGACGGUGGACUACGGCU
rnacentral:rRNA from 1 species